UACCCGAUGUCCAGUGGUACCUU
rnacentral:miRNA from 1 species